rnacentral:tRNA from 1 species
GGGAGUGUGGUCUAGUGGUAUGAUACCCGCUUUGGGAAUGCGGGUGGCCCGGGGUUCAAUUCCCCGCUCUCCCC